AUUUGCUGUAGAUUUCAUCAGAUAGUACACAGAGUAUGCUAGUGUAGCUUAUGCUCAGUUCUUCAAAGCUUUCCUCAGAGCAGGCACAAAGUCCAUCCCACACAGCUGUCAAAAGAGCUACACCCCUUUUUCUAGCGAGGAAAUUGCAAAACCUUUGAAGCAGUGUGAUGUGAUGGGGUAUGGCAAGUCACCUUCACCAACAGCAUCCUUUUCUGGAAGAGGAGACAUGAUGAGGUGAGCUGGUAAAUAUAGAAACUCAAGGAAAAGCCCCAGACAGCCCAGAAAUCACCGCCCACAUCUCAGCACGAUGUGUCUCUUGCGCAGUCAAUUCAAUUUCCAUAAGGUGAAUACAGAAAGGAACUACAAGCAUUGGAAAUGAAUGGGGGAGUUUAAUUCAGCCGCGUUUCACUCCCACUGAGGAGGCAUACAGAUGGCUGCACAGAACUCAGCAAAAACAGAGCCAGGAGUCAGGGAGAGGGAGACUUCAACUGGGGUUUCGAGUGGAGUUGCUCAUUUAUUUCCCCCUGUAUCAGUCUGCCUCCUGGGAUAUCGCAUGGACAGCUGGCCUAGGCAGGAUUUUGCAAAAGGAAAGAAGAAUAUUCACACUAAGGUCCCUGAAGCCACACUUCUGCAAACUAGCAGCUACCAAAAAGUAAGUAGAAAGGUUUCUAGUUCCCUUUCCAUGUUAAGAAGUUCAUAACAGAUUACUUGAUGAUAUCUAGUUUGAUAUGACAAAUGCCUUUUGUCUGAAAAAGUGACACUUUUCCAAAGGGUGUACAGCCAUCUAUUGUCAUGGUAAGUUACUUUUUCAAGUAAUUGCUGUCCUCGUAAGAUGUCAUUCUGUGUGAUUUUAAUAGAUUUAGCUGAAACUAUAAAAAGGCAACUGAGGAGAUUUUAAAUAAAGCAAAUAGUGUGUUUUGUGAAGUUUUAUUCGUUUCUUUGAAAUGCAGAUUUGUAUUAGCUGAGCAUGAAAUAAAAGGCCAUGGUGGCUGUACAUGAGAGAUAAGUAGGAACAAGUCACAUAGUAAUGCUUCACCUCUCAUUUUGGCGUGGCUUUUAUAUUUACAUUACUAUGGACACUGUCUGAGGGGCAAGACUGUCACCCGCAUUUUUAGGCACAGGGAGAAGCAUAUUAAAGGAUUACUUUACUCUUGCUAAUUUCUUCUUAGCUUUGCUUUUCAGGCAAGUGGCCUGCAGAGUAUCUCUUUACAGAGUAGUUGCUUUCAAGAGAGAAAAUUGAGGUCUUACAGGAUUGGCACUGUUUAAAACACUUUUGGCUUCUGAUUUUUGAAUGUUUGGACCUGAAUUCCUGCUAAUGGCUCAGCUCAGUCCACUUACAGGAGGUCACGUUAAUGUUUUAAGUAAUAUGCAUCAAAUAAACAUACAUGUAAGUGUUGAUUAGACUUGAGCACAAAGUGUCGCUUGAUGUCUGCAGCUACUUUGAAUUAAUUUGUAAUUUGUGUACUCAAUCAGAACACCCUCUGACAGAAGUGACAUUUUACAUCCACUUGAUGCAAGAGUAACUAAAUACACAAUACUCACAGUAAUGAAGAGUGAAAGCCCUAAUUUUAACAUAAUUCAGCCAGGACUUUCCAUCCAGGCAAUCAAUGCACUAACGUUGCCCUCAUGCAUUGCUAAAGCAGAGUAGCAUGCAAAUGCGUAAGUUCAAAAACCUGUUUUCACUUACAUUUUAAAUAGAAAUCCCCCCAAACUUUCAAUUUGCAUUGAUCAUAACUAUUGAAAAGACCAUUACAGUGAAGAUGCUGAUUCUUCGUUGCCCAGUCUAAAAGUCAUGCUAUGUAAGUCAUCACUUCUUCCAUUUUUUCCUAAAGAAAAAUCCUAGAAAACAAACAAACAAACAAACAAACAAACAAACCUAAAAUGAAGAAUUAUAAAGUUUUAGUGACCCAUUUAGCAGCUUUUUUAAAUAGCUCUUUGAAAUAAGCACACCACUAAGUGGAAGUCUACGAAUAGCUGAAAGCAGGAGCUAUAACUCGUAUACCUUCCAUUCAGCUGUUCUCCCCUUUUCCUCCAUUAAAACUGUAUUUACAGAAGGGAUCAAGCAAUACCACACAGAACAUUUUAACUAGAUUUGAACAGAAAAUCCUCCUGAAAACAGAUCUGGUUCUAAUUUUUCAAAAUACUCUCAGAUAUUCACCUUAUACUCAUAAUGGUUUUAUGAUCUAUAUAGCUGAGGAUUCCAAACCAGAUCCACUUACUGCUGCAGGCUUGUUAGUUAAUUUCUUUGGAUACAGAGACAGUCCAUAAAUGAGAGAUACAUCUAGCUGACAAAUGAAGCAAUCCAAAAUAGUUUUGCAAUUGAGCUUAUAUGUAGCUCUUUCAUGACUUUCUAGUAACAGUAAGGCUCUAGCCCUCUCCACCUUCCCUUCCAAAAUCUACUUACUGACUUUGCACUGCAAAACACUACUUGGGUCAUGAGAAUCUGAUUGAGUGGGUCUAUGACAACUCCAUUCACAUUGUAUGUAUGAGAAUUUUGCCUCACAUUUUCUUAGAGGAUUUCAGAGAACUAGCAGCAGUCCUUAUAAGAGAAAGCUGUUGGUAUUUUUCCUUUUUGUUUCCAGUGAAAUCUAUAUUGCGAGGGCUUAUUUCUCUGUGGAACUGACAUUUCUUAGCUAUUUCUUUUAUGCUUCAUGAUAGGUUUACAGUAAAGGAAAAGGUAUUUUCAACAACAUUAAAAAAGAAUCUCAACCACUCUGUCUUAUUUUUUUUACUUUUUGAAACGGAGGCUGAAAUGAGUAAGUGCCACAUUAUCUGGGAAUUUAUUGCCAUUUCUCAGCUACCACUGAGCACUGAAAUAGGAAGUAACUUGUGGAAAUACUGGGGUGGACAUACACAGUGAGGAAGUGUAGAUUUUCUUUCAUAAGAUCAUCUGACGUGCAUCUUUAGGAUAUUAGACACAUCAGACACUUUUCUGAGGCUAGGCUCAAGAGCAUGAAAAACUAUGCCUGAAUCCCAGUGAGUCCAAAUGUGCUUUUCAAAUAUUUGGUGUACAGGGACAAAGAGAUUUAGCUGCUCACAGAAAACACCAUUGUGGGAGGAAAGAUGUGAAGCAGUCUGGGGCAGAAUUACUACAAGGAAGUGUGGGAAAGAGGGAAGUUCAUUAUAGAUUUGGAAGUGCAGAAGAGGGAUGAACAAGAGGGUGUAUGAGAACGGUGUGAAUGUUACCCUAAAGAAUGAGGUAGAACAUAUCAGCUAUCACUUCAAAAUAUCAUUACAAGACCUAUAAACGAAGUUCUCCUCUUGUAGUUUAGCUCAGCAAUCAGACCCCUCAUAUCUGUACAGUUAUUUCAAAUAGCUGAGACAGUAAAAUUUAAUGAAAAUGCAUUAUUAAAAGUGCAUCACGUGGUAAACAAUCAAAUUAAGGAUGCACUGUUUUUAUUUCACUUAUAGCAUACUUAGACUAAACUAUCUAGCAGCAGCUUCUUUUAAGAUAAGCAUAUUUAGUAGCCUGAAGAUUUAUUUGUAAUGACUUGCAUGCAGAAUGGCUCUCCUCUAAUGAAAAUAGGAAAUAUGAUGAGCGUGAAUGAAUACAUUGAUAGCAGUCUGGGAAUAAAAAGCCAUCUUACUUUUGUUGGAAUGUAUGUCUAAUAGGUUCAAAUAAUGGUUAUGUUAUUUUUGCAGUAUCACAUGUGCUUCUUUAAGCACUCCUUGUUUCACCCUUUGUGCACGGAAUGCUGCCAGUAUCAAUUCUUGCAUCUCACAUCUGUGAAAGAGCUCUCCUUGCUCUCCCAAGCAGACUCCUCAUUACUAUUAUCCUAAAGUUUUAACCGAUAGCUCAGUGCUAUUCAAUAUCUGAAUACCAAUACUCUGCCAGUUCCAGAAACAACUUACUCAAACACCUGAUACAUCAUAUGCUGCCUCACCAAAGUCACAUUUGCAGAAAUGUCUGGCUGCGUGUGGCGGCGGGCAGACAGCAGUUCAUCAGGCUGAGCAAACUGUCACCUCAUUUAACCAUGGGGAAAAUGAAUUUGGCUAUUUCCUCUUGUUGCACCUAGUCUUGUUCCCUGAUGAAAAAGUUACACAGCCUUUGGAUUGUGCAGGUUCCUCCAUAGGUUUGAAAUGAGUAAAUAAGUGAAGUGCAACAUGUUUGGGUCUGCAUGCAUCUCAAAGCAUUGAAAAACACAGCUGUAUCAUAUCAUGGCAAAAUAGGUGCUACAAAUACCCUGAACUAGGAAAGUGGUGAUGCAGUAUUCUGUAAUUCGUAAGAGAUGCUUGGCUGAAGCAACACAGUGUUAUGAAAUUCACCCCGAAUGUGUAUGCAUAUGAGGGGUAAUGGCUUUUUUCUCACCAUGUUAUGAAAUAGUUUGAUGGAAUUAUUUGAAACUUAUACCAGAGGUUCCAGUGAAGAUGCUGCGUAGUGACCUCUGUAACAGUUUACGUCACUAAGAGUUGUUAAACAUAAUAAUUAAAGAUGCAACUUUUUUGUGCAGUAUACUUUGUCAUUCACAACUUACGUUAUCAGUGACUUGACCUCCUUAUAAUAAAGCACAAUACCAUUACAGUUGUACUUCACCUACAAGACAAUGGUAUGGACUACCAUAACUUGGCGUACUGUGUUGGUGAAGAGUUACAUACGUACAUAUUACACUGGUGGAAAUAUGCAAAAGAUCAUAAAAUCAUAGAAUCAUUCAGGUUGGAAAAGACCACUAAGAUCACCUAGUCCAACCAUCAAUCCAUCACCACCAUGCCCAUCUUCCUUCCCUUGGUGCCACAUCCACACGGUUCUUGAACACCUCCAGGGACAGUGACUCCACCACCUCACUGGACCAUCUAUGCCAGUGCCUCACCACUCCUUUUGAGAAGAGUUUUUUUAUAAUAUCCAACGUGAAACUUUCCUGAAGAUGACUUAUAGGGGACUUGCAGGAGAAGAGAAAGUAACCCUUUUUGGGAUUCAAAUGAUUUCAGCAGACUGCACACUAUUUUCCCCCUGAAGAGUCAAAUUCACAGCACAGCACUGAGGUUUGCUCUACUGCCAGGUUCCCACGUCCUAUGGCAACUCACCUCACCAAAGGCAACAGAGAAGCUUUCCUUGCUUUCAAAUAUAAAUAUAUUGCACAUGUCAUUUCAGCUGAAGGAAAGAGUAAUAGUCAAUAAAAAAGCCGUUCCAAGCCCUCACAUGGCACAAUUGUGCACAGCCUACUUCACCCUGUGAUGCAUUCAAGCAGCUGUUAGGAAGCACGGCAAGGUCUGGAGCUUGCCAAGAUUACCCAGUCAUUGUUUCUAGCUAAAAUUCAACAUGAUCAGAGCCUAUAGAGCUGCUAUUCAGUAAAUUACUGCUAAUGACAUUUAUUACCAGCAUUAACAGUAAUUUACCCAACGUUAAUCAGAGCAGCCGGUUACAGUACUUCUCAAUCAUUCCGAGUCCUCACUUUGCCAGUUGACUAAAAUAUUUUAUGCUACUGUUAGUCACAUAGCCAUUAAAUUAAGACAGAGCCUGGAAUCCUGAAAACUAACACCCUGCUUGUGUCUAAUUUAUCAUCACCAAUUAUAUUUGUGCCAAGACUUGGGCUUUCCCACUGGUCAAGAUUUGAAAUAAAUAGUCAUAAAAUGUUGUCUAGGAGUGGGCUGUUGGAUUAGUAGUAGGAAAUCAUGUUGUGCUUAGUGGAGAUGUUAGUAAUAUUUCCAUUAUGGAAGAAAGUAUAUCUUCCAAUCUACAAGGCUGGUAAGUAUUGCUCGGAUCAUUUAACUCAUUACCUGUGGCUUACAGAAAUUAUAAUUUUUCCCUGCAUUUGCUGAGCUUCAAGAUAUAUUGUAUGCACAGUGGUGGAGGAGGCAUGUUGGAGAUGUCAGAAUAAGCUGCCAUGAAGAGUGGUUCUUGACAUCACCCUGUGAAGAGUAAAAUCCACCACUCCACCUCCUAUAGAAAUUCCAUAGCAAAAAUGUCCUUCUGUGUGUCAAGCCAUAAAGUCGGUGAUAAUCAGUCUCUCCUGAAAAAUGGGAGAGCAGGAAGGGUAAUGUUGAAAGGCAAAAUAAUUUCAGCUUAGUGCCUCUUUAUGUUGUCAGAAAAAGUGUCCUAGCUGGUGAUGCAUUUGUAGUAGGAAUGCCCAAAGGGGGGGGGACAAAGAGGACAAGGGUGCUUUUGCUAGCACACCAACCAAUUCACUGUUAACUUAUGCCAGAAGUGGAGUCUGUGCUCCUUUCACAGAGUUGUUGUAACAAAAAAGCAUUUUAGAAGUUAAAUGUUUUCUGGAAAUCAUUUUAAGAGGGCCACUCAGCUUAAUCAGCAUGAAGUUCAGUCCUGCAUCAGAUUACUAAAACAAACCAUUAACCCCUAAGGGCUUAAAAUUCCUGCAGUUUCAUAUCAGUCAUUUUGCCAUGAGCAAUGCAAUUCCCAUAACAUGAUCCAGGUCUUGGAAAUAAGAGCAGGAACAGUUAAAAUAUCAACAUUAGCUUGUCUGACAUAGGCUACACUGAUAAAAUAUGUAUUUCCAGAUGCUUGGCUUUAGAGUAUCAUUUAAACUGAUAUACUGCAAAGAUUUAUUGUUAUCUUGCCUCUAUGAUACAGCCUGGUUAGACACAACAAAAAUGAGAGAUCUUUAAAUAAAAUGGGAUUUUGUGGAAACCUACAAGUGGCAGUCUGGACAGCACUUCACCAAACCCCUAGUUACCAGCUGCCUCCUAUCUUCUUGUGCCUCAGGAGAAGGUGGGUGCCUGGAUGUUUGGUGGCCUAAAUGCCAGCACCCAUGUCCAGAGGAGGACUUGGAGCAAGACAACAAAAUGAGAUGUGGUUCCCAGAGCUGCAUGGGAAACAGCAAUUUCUUCUCCCUGGUAUUUCUUUUUUCUUUGAACAGCAAAGGUUUUUGUUCAAAUUAGAACCAAAGCAGAACACAUAUUUCCUCUUAAAAUGGAAUUUGUCUCAGCCCAAGUCAUAACAUAUCAAUUUCUGGUUUGUCUGUAGACAGCUAAGAAGUACAGUGUUCAGUAGUCAUGAUGGUCUCAGGAUACAAGCAGGUUUGUAAGGAGAUGUAAUAGCUUUGAUUUGGUCAUUGAACCAGGCUGGGCAAAACAGAUACAUUUUGCAUAUUCAGUCCCUUCUUUGGAUAUAAAACAGGAGUCUAAGACUGUGCACAAUAAGCUGCCUAUAGUUACUUGACAUAAAAACUGAAACCCUUUGUAGUUAUUUCCAGUGUGCUUCUAUUAAAUACUUGUGGGUGUCUUUAGUAACAAAAAAGGCUAUAAUUGCUUUUGUGCACAUCUCUGAUCAGAUCCUGGGUAAUUGCUCAAUAAGCUGCAGAAAGGGAGUACUCUGUUGUGAAUUUGAAUGUUCUGACAUUAAAACACAUCCUUUCAAAAUUAAAAUGUGAAUUUAAGGGUCUGACAGCGUGCUGGUCUUCCCAGUUCAUGUUUGUAGAAGUAUUCCAUAGGAGUGUCUAGGUUCUGGCAUAGUUUUCAGUUCCUCACUGCAAGCUAGAGGGACCUCUUGGCUAUCUCCUGUCCAUUCUCCUGGCCCCAUGAGACCAGGUCACGUCUGUGCUCGCUGUUCUGGAGGUCCCUGACCCACCGGGUAGGCUGGAAAAUGUGCUGAGGAGGUGAGGCAUCUGGUUAAGGUCUCCCACCACCCUGAUUUGUAGAUUUGUGCAAACCCCAAGGGAAGGAAUGCUUUGCUGUCAGACAAAACCGCUCUUAAAUCAAGCCAAGCUAAGACAAAAUGGUGGGGGAGUGAGUGGAAAGAAUGGAUUUAUUUAAACAAAAUUGACAACACAGCUGCCAAUGUUUAUAGAAGACAUGGGUCAAGAAAUGGAAGAAAAGAACAUGCUUACUCUAUUUAAUUUAAUCUGGGGUUUUUCUCUCUCUCUGCUGCUGGCUGGUUUGCUGUAGACAUUCCUAAGGCUACCUGGUUGCAGAUUUUGUCUUUCUACAUAUUUUCUGUCUCAGGUUGCAUCCGCUACAGAGAAAAGUACUUCCUGAUAGGACAUAUUUGCUUUCAUAGCUAAUCUUCUUUUUGGAUUCCACUGAUUUAAU
rnacentral:lncRNA from 1 species